rnacentral:rRNA from 1 species
UGGGGAAUAUUGCACAAUGGGCGGAAGCCUGAUGCAGCGACGCCGCGUGAGGGAUGACGGCCUUCGGGUUGUAAACCUCUUUCAGCAGGGACGAAGCGCAAGUGACGGUACCUGCAGAAGAAGCGCCGGCCAACUACGUGCCAGCAGCCGCGGUAAGACGUAGGGCGCGAGCGUUGUCCGGAUUUAUUGGGCGUAAAGAGCUCGUAGGCGGCUUGUCGCGUCGAAUGUGAAAACUCGGGGCUCAACUCCGAGCUUGCAUUCGAUACGGGCAGGCUAGAGUUCGGUAGGGGAGACUGGAAUUCCUGGUGUAGCGGUGAAAUGCGCAGAUAUCAGGAGGAACACCGGUGGCGAAGGCGGGUCUCUGGGCCGAUACUGACGCUGAGGAGCGAAAGCGUGGGGAGCGAACAGGAUUAGAUACCCUGGUAGUCCACGCUGUAAACGUUGGGCGCUAGGUGUGGGGACCCGUCUCCGGGUUUCUGCGCCGCAGCUAACG